AGGACUUUGGCGGACUGUUGUCCAUAUGGCCUCCCAUCAAAUACUCCGACAAGGUGCCCGUCACGCAGGCCAAUGUGACCAUUAGUAUCCAUGGAUCGAAUCGCAUUGUUCUUCGCAUAUCUGAAAGCGUGUCACAUUGUCCUCAGAGUUGUUUCGGCUACAUCAGGUUCGUGAAUCAUCAGCUUUUCCAUGAGCAACGACACCGGAGGGAACCGUAAUAAUAUUCAUCGUUGCCAUUCCUCCUCGACCUCUUUCUCCUUUAUCGUACUUCUAUCAAUGGUUCAUUGUGAUCUCGAUGAAUGUGAUUAUUGACUUCGUUCAAUGGUCUCCGAUCAAUUAUUUUAGUAAAGACUUUUUUGUUGACCCUUUUUCUGUUCACGGUAUAUUGCAGGAUUGUAGGCACAUUUGUAUCAGCGGACUGCCGAUAUCUAUGCAAAUUCAUAUAUAUAUAUAUAUAUAAUUGUAAAGAUGAAA